rnacentral:rRNA from 1 species
GACGAACGCUGGCGGCGUGCUUAACACAUGCAAGUCGAACGGAAAGGCCCGGCUCUUGUGGGGUGCUCGUGUGGCGAACGGGUGAGUAACACGUGAGUAACCUGCACUUGACUUUGGGAUAACUUCAGGGAACUGGGGCUAUUAUCGGAUAGGAGCUCCUGCUGCACGUUGGGGGAUGGAAAGUUUCGGCGGUUGGGUAUGGACUCGCGGCUUAUGAGCUUGUUGGUGAGGUUGUGGCUUACACAGGCUUGGACGGGUAGCCGGCCUGGGAGUGUGACCGGGCCCAUAGGGCUAGGGGAGGGGGCAGUAGUCAUACGGGAGGCAGGGGUGGAAGAUAUUGCACAAUGGGCGGAGGCCGGGAGCAGCAACGCCGGGUGCGGGAUGACGGCUUUCGGGUUGUAAACCGUGUUCAACUGAGACGAAGCGUGAGUGACGGUAAUGGGUAAAGAAGCACCGGCUAACUACGUG